AUCAGUCAAUUUGCAUUCACGUAUUUAGGAGCAAGUGUAUCAUUUCUUUGACAUAAAUGUAAAGCUGGCAUGAAGGAAAGAGGCUCAACGCAUAGUGACAAACUUAAACCCUUAUAAUUCAUUAAUACUCGGGCAAUUGCAUGGGCUCAAGGGCUAACAAAACAUCAAAUACAAUAUUUUGAGCUUUAGAAAAGAUUUUCAGCUUGCCGGACGAUGUUAGAAUGGCACAAUCAGUGUUCACUUUGGAAAGUGAGAAUACUGAGUUUGUCAAAUCUAAAGAAGUACACCUUUUGAUAUGUUCCAUAAGAAUUGGGUAGAAAAAUGAGGAGCUACGGAAAAUUUUUUUUAAAUCUUCAGGUCUUAUGGAAAUUGUGACUGAUGAAAGAUUAGGAUUUCCGGUUGUCCAGGUCAACUCAAGCGGGAGGGCUGUUUGACUAUUUACAUGAUUUUGCCAAAUUUUCAAAAACUCUAAAAGUAUUUCUGGAGCAAUUAGGCAUGGUAAAAUUUGUGUAUCAAAUUCCUGCUGGAGGAACUGCUCAACGGCCAUCCAUAGCGCCCCAUCCAUACGAACAAGAGCUAAUGAAAAGAAUACAGAAUUCCCUUCAAGCGAUAAACGUGUUCUGUCAGCCUCCGCGUGGGAGAACUUCCGAAAUGACUCGAAGAAAAACAUCUGGCCUUUGCGUUUCACCUCUAAAUCACUAGACGUCUCAUACGAAAUAUCCAGCUUUAAAAAUUUAGGGAAACUAGAUGUGUUUCCGAACUCCGUAAACGUAGCUUUCUCAAUUAUCAAGUCAGCAAACCUAGU